ensembl:lncRNA
AAAAAAAUAAAAUCUUUAAAAAAAAUAAAUUUGGUUGGAUUUCAUAUUUGCCUUACAAUUUUUUUUUGAAAUAACUAUUGUCUGCUCUUCCAUUUCAAGAAAUUCUUGGUAAUUAUGGUUUAUUUUUUGUCCUUCCCACUUGAGUUACCAACCAGCAGUAUGAGGGGAAGGUACAGAUCUUCCCUGAUGCGUUUGAUUUAUUUUGAAUGCUGGCAAAUUCACAGUCAGAGAGGCAGUUUGAUUUUGGCUUAGUUUUCAGGAAAUUUUUGAUUUUUUGGGCUAUAGUGUGAAGAUGUAUUUUUACUUUUUAUUUUUGAUAUAUUUAUUUUUGCUGUUAAUUGUUUGCUUCAGGUUGAAUGGUUAGUACUUUCUCUAUCUCAGUCAGUCCAUGUUUUGGGGGUCCUUAAAGUUUCUGCUACAAAUUGACAUUAAAAAUCCUGAUGUGAGUCCUGCCUGGGUUCAGUUAGCUCCCUGCUGAUGUGUUUAAGGGCCUGAGUUAAGCCCUAUGAACAAGCCAGUGUUCACUGGUUCCUGACUUUCAGCUGGACCCAUAACCCUAAAUUUACCUCACAAGAGCACCUGCCAUCACAAAGGAAACUAGGUGAGGACCAAGGACAUCUCAGGUAUAGGCAUCAUUCCUUCUGAAAAAGUAACUAAAUAUGUAGGCCCUGUUUCAAAUUUGAAGGAUCUAUAUGGGGUAAACUGCGGAAGCACAUUAUAGUACAUCUCAAGGUGGAAGUGUGAGGGGCAAAUUGUUGAAAUGAGACAAGAGGAAGCUGGCUCCUUUCCUCACACGUUAGUGAAGGAUAGUGGUGAUAUUGUCCCAUGCACUCCAUAUUGGCAUCAAGAGACUCCGAGGGGUCAGUAACUGGGUGCAGGUAGUGAUGUGCAGUCCAAACUGGGAGACUAGCAGCUGAAGAUGUACAGGAUUGAUCUGACCUAGGAGCAGGUGGGAAGGAAAGCGGCAUUAGGUUAGGUCCAGUCUGCUCUAGGAGAGAAGGCUCGGGUACCAGCCUCCCAGCCUCCCUGGUGCCUGAGCUCCAUUUUGCAGCAGGCUGGCGUUGUUUGAAUGUUCUUACAGCGUCAUUCAGGGCCAUGUGAAUCUGCUUUUGUUGUGGUACAUCUAUUGUUUUAUUAGCUCACCUCUUGCAACCAAAGUGGGAACUCUAUCAUAAAACACCAUGCUCCUCAUUUUCUUUCCUCCAACCCCUUUCCAAAUGACCGAGAACCUGUCUUUGUUUGCCAACUCAUUCUUAGGGUAGAGACUGAAAAAGUGCGGGACUUUGUGUGUACGUGUGUGAGUGUGUGUUUUUAGGGGGUGGAGGAACUUGAAGGGGAGCUAGCCAUUGUUAUUCAUUAUAAAACUAGUCAAACUUUGUAGUUUCCAAAAGAAAUAUCAGAUGGCAGAUUCUUCACCAUCAUGUAUUUUUAAAGUCCAAUUGAUCUACGUCUAAGGGGAAAAUAUGUUAUUUUAAAUGCAGUGUUCAUACUAAAGGAAUAUUGAAAAUGAUUGAACAGAAUAAAACAGCUAAUACUUAUUGAUGCUUAUUGUUUUCCAGACAUUUACUUUUAUUAACUAGUUUAUUCUUUUAGCAAAGCUAUAAGGUAGAUCUUGUUAUUAUCCAUAGUACAACAGCUGAGGAAAUGGAGAUGUAGAGAAAUCACGGAGCUGGUCCAAGGACACUCUGGCAGAGUAAAGAUGUCCAAAAAUUUUUGACACUCUCUCAUUAAGAAGAGUCUCUUCCCCUUGAACCUACUGGGCUCCAUGUCUGCCUUGAUUAAUAGAAUAUGAUGGAAGUGAUGCUUUACCAGUUUUUGGGUCCUGGCCUCAAGCGUUUGGCAACUUUUACUUCCUGCCUCUGGAAACACUUGUUCUUGGAGCGCUAAGACACACGUAAAAGUCUGACGACCUGAGGCCAUCAUCUAGAAGGUAGAAGAACUGAUGCCUGGUAAGCCCCCUGUUGUUAUGGCUAUAGCUUCCAGCUAUUCAAGUCACCCAGCCAAAGCUGCAGACAUCAGGUAGACAGAUGAGCAUUUUCUGUUGUGCUGUCAGAAUUCCUGACUGACAGAUUAAUGACUAAAAUAAAUUAUUAUUAUUUUCAGCCACAGACUGUUGGGAUAAUUUGUUAUGCAGCAAUAGAUAAGCAGAACAUUCACACAGCUGUUACAUCAUGUAUAAACCAAGUAGAUUCAACCCAAGUGACCUGGCUCCAGAGUGCCUAUGCUUAAAAGUAUUCUAUACCAUGUAUGUAUGUUACCCAGAAUGUUGUGCCAUCUUAGUUCAAACAGCAAAUCUCCCACCUCUGCAACACGCUCUGCAUGGACUUUUCCUUUAGCCUGCUUUAUUUUCCUCUGAAGCCCUAUAAGCAUCUGAUGUGCUGUGUGCUGUGUUGAUGCUACUUUAUUGUCCAUCUUUCCCCCCAACUAGAAUGGACCAACCACAAGGGCAGAGGCUUGCCUGAGCUGUUCACUGCUGCGUUCCCAGCACCGGGAAUAGUGAAACAGACGUGAAAUGCUUUUCAGUGAAUGAAUAAAUGACGGAAAUAUUUUAUUUUAAGGAGGAAGAAUUGUCUCCAUUGUUCCAGAAUGGCAUGCUUUGGUUCACAAGAAUCAUAAGAAGAAGUCAUGUGCAAGACUUCUAGGGAAAAUGGACAUUCCUCCUUGGACAUCAAGCUCCGGGGGCCAGACCUCGCUGUGGAGAGAAACAUUCCCAGAAAAGUGGUAGGCAAUUUUGGAGGAAAGUUACCCCUUGCCUGGCCUGGGAAAAGCAGAGGCAGGUCAGAGAAGUGGACAUUUAAGUGGAUGUGAUUUGGACCAGCACUGGCUGGCACCUUAAUUACAGCCCUGUGAGAAACCCUGAAGCAGAGAACUCAGAGGAAGGAACUUAAUUUAUCCAAGGCCAAGUGACCAGUAUGUAGCAGAGCAGAUACCAGAGCCCGGGGCUGUCUGACACAAAGCCUUUAUACUUUGUUUCACGACAUGCUGCUUACCACUGUGGCCUCAUUGCUGUGAUCAGGCAGAGCUCAGUUCCAGAGUUUCUCAUCACAGGAAAACAUUUUAGAAACAGAAAGCUGUUAUGUAAUCUCUUAACAGUGUGGAGAAGAUGCGGGGCAAGAACUCAGUUCUAGCUUCCAAGUAAUCCGAGGGAAAUACGUAAUUCUCAUGGCUGAUGAGUGGAAUAGGUCUGCACCUGGGAUCCUUGCAAACCCAGGCCACUGAAGUGGACCACGUGGAACAUUAACCACUUGACCAUGAGGCUGGCCUCUGGAAGUUUCUGUCUUUAGGAUAAUUUUUUUUUUCUGUUGCAGUAUUUGAUUUUUUAAUUUCCCAAAUGUUCUUGAUAUAGUUCAAUUCUUCAUCACCCUCAUAAGCUCUAUCUGCCCCUCACAGAUACAAUUUCCUCCCAGGAAGCUCUGACUGGAGUCAUAGCAGAGCUAGACAAGUCUGAUAGGGAAACAUUCAUGACUAAUCCAAACUCUGGGUCUGUUUUUGUUAAAAGUGAAACCCUGGAGAAGUUGUGCAUGAGACUUUUCAGUUAAAAAAUAAAAUAAAUAUUUCCCUUUUGAGUAAAAGUGCAAUUACUCUAUGUUAUUUAAUCAUACCCUGAGAGACUAGAGAAAGGUUUCUUGAAGGGUCGCUCCUGUCUUCUGUCAGGAAAUGAAUGGCAGAAUAAAGUACCCCUGCCGAAACAGAGUAAGAAGGACCUCUUUUCUCAUCUGAACUUCAUCUAAGUGUAUCAAAUUACAAUAUAUAAUAAUUCAACCUGAACUUUAAUAGUAUCCUCUGUGAAAUUUUUGAUAACGUUUAUUCACCCUUUGCCAUGCCAAUUAGUUACUCAUUUAUGUGUCCCUGCUCCUCUGAAUAAAUUGUGACUUUGUUGAAGGCAUAGAUGAUGCUUUUUAAAAUCUUAUUAUCCUAUACCUCCCUUCUGAAUACACAGAAUAAUCCAUCAUAUUAUGAGAUGCUCAGAAUACGUCUGUUGACCAUCUUGGAAAUAGAGCUACAUUAUAUUAGUCCAAAGCAUUGCAUUUGCAAGUUUUUUUA